GACAGGUAUGCUGGAACAAGUUGCAGCUAUAUUAUACAGAUCAAGGACUGGACACAUCCUCUCUAAGAGAUCCAAGGCAUAAUUCCAUAAAGAGGAUGUAAUCUAGACAUAAUGUGCAUAAUGAGUGGGCAGUCCCUAACCUUUGUAGAGUCGAGGCAGGUUGCUUACUGCAGCAAGAAGCUGACAGUGACUGACAGAAAUCUCCCGAAGUGUUUCCAGUGUAGUUACUUCUUCAGAAUUUUUCCUGGACUCCAAGUUUGCCUUGUACAAGUCAUGUGACACACCUCUUAGCUCAGCUCGUGCCUCUCGCAAUUGACCAAGACCCCAGUCAACACCCUCCAGUUUCUCCAGAUGCUCUGGACGACAAAAGACACCUGAAGCCCAUUUCAGCGCAGCACCCCGUGCCAAACAUUCAGCCCUUUCCAGCUCUUGCCACACCUCGACUGGGACAAGGGCCUCUGUCAAUCAAAAUUGAAAAAAAAAAAAUAUGUAGCCCUUAUGUUACGAAACUAGACAAGCUUCAAUUGUGAAAUCAAUAGUGAAUUGAACAGUUGUUCAGCCACCUGACUUGGUCAGUGAAUGACUUAAACACUAGAAUUCUUUAUUUUUCCUGGUGGUCAUGAGACAGACAAGAUUUUAACAAUCAGCGCAAGACUACAUUAGCUAAAAGUGGUUGACAUCAGCUAAGUCUGCAGAUGAAUUGAUCUCUUCUCCAAAGAAUGACUCAUAUGUGUUCUGAUCAUUUCUAUGUCAAAAGUUUCAGAAUUUCCAUUUCAUAUGCCUUAAUCCCAUGGGUGUUCAUGAGCUGAAACACCCACUGGGAAGUAUGUAGGAAUUCAAUUACUGAGACACAGCUUUUAGGGCAUGAUAAAUGACAUAUAUAUAUAUAUAUAUAUAUGACAGCAUCAUGCAAAACACUCUCAGAGGUUCAUAAUGCAGUGACCAAUUGCAAGAGCUUGCCAGCUAUUCAAACUAACCAGAUACUUUUUUAUCAGCCUUAAAAAAAAGCUAAUGUUUCUUUUAACAUUACACAUGUAAACCUUGUAUUUAAUUGAACACAUACUGUUUACCGAUGAUCAUACAAUAACAUGUAAGUAAAAAUAUUGUUUGGAAUAUAUUUAAUGUCUAAAAGGAGAAACUGAAACAUUGAUCAAUAGUUAGACUUCGUUAUUUGCGAAAUUAAAUGGUGUAGCUGUGCUGUCCAUCAUGUUGGUAACAGUCUUCUUUUAUUUAUGGCUUGUUCUUUGGAAUUGUGGAUAGUGAAGUACCAGGAAAUCAACUAAUGAUUUACAGUUUGUUCAAAAAC
rnacentral:lncRNA from 1 species